rnacentral:tRNA from 1 species
GAAAGCGUAGCUCAGAUGGUAGAGCGCUCGCUUAUCAUGCGGGAGGUUCGGGAAUCGAUACUCCGCGCCUCCA